ACGCUCGACACCUACGGGGGGCAGCAGUGGGGAAUAUUGCACAAUGGGGGAAACCCGUGAUGCAGCGACGCCGCGUGAGCGAAGAAGUAUUUCGGUAUGUAAAGCUCUAUCAGCAGGGAAGAAACUGACGGUACCUGACUAAGAAGCACCGGCUAAAUACGUGCCAACAGCCGCGGUAAUCUGAGCGGGCUGGCAAGGC
rnacentral:rRNA from 1 species